rnacentral:lncRNA from 1 species
GUCUGUCCCUCGGCUCCGGAGGGGGGGGGGGUGUAAUAGCGCGGGAGGUGGGGCUAAGGGGACCCUCAUCCUCCCUUUCCGACAAGUGGGGGUCCUGAGCGCUGCCCAGAAGGGGUCCAGAGAAUGUUGUGGGCUGGGGCACACCCGCCGGGGCAGAAAUUGGAGGACACCACCGACGUCGACAGAAUCCUUUCUAUCCUUCCUUUCAGCUGCCCGGUGUUCUCCACCCCUGCGUUAGCACUCUGUAGUCUGGGGACCUCCCGGGAACGUCCCGGGGCUAGCAACCAAGGGGGCUCUCGGAUGCUCUGUGGAUCGCCGCUUCGCCCUUACUUUGGGGACGGUCACACGCGUCCCGCUUCCCCCGGUCGCUUUAGAUCAGGCGUCUGCGCCCUCCCCGGCUCCUCACCCCCACCCCCAGAGUCAAAUGUGGGCCUCUCCUGGAAAUCCUUUGCGAAGGGGACAAACUUUUGAGUGGACGAAAAUCUAUUGGAGCCUGUCCAGAGCAGCAGGCCCUGCUCUGAGACCCUGAGGCUGGCUGGCAUACACUCUGCCUCUGUCUGGAGUUUAUAAUGAGGAUGCAAAUACAGGGAUUCAAAGAAGAGGCCCUAAGUGAGAAGCCCGGGGAUUUGCUAACCAGGGGCAGGGUACCAGUUGUGACUUUGACCUUUAUAGCCUUAACUCACUGUAGACAAUUCUGCAUUUUCCAUUUCCACUCCAUCCCUGUUUCUGGGAGAGAGGUGCUGGUGUCCCCAAGGUUACUGCUCUCUGGGGAUGAGGGUCAGUAUCACAAAUUAAAACCUUAAACUUUCUAAAAACGAAAAGCACAUUUCCCUAUUCUUUGUGUGUUUGGGAGGUUGUGUUUCCCACUAGCCUAGCAGACUCUGACCCCUGAACAUCAGAAUGUGGAUUCCCCUCAUUGUCUACACCAACCCCCCAAGAAAGGCUCAAUCCAGGUGACUGUGGAAAGGAUGAGCCCACACUCACUUCCUCAUCCCUCAUCUGCUUUGAAGGACUCAGGACCUCAGCAGGCUGAACAGCCAUGAGGAGCGAAGCUGAGUGGCUUCCCACCUCCUUUGAGCUCCUCGCAGUUCUGUUUUGUGUGUGGUUUGUCCUCGCCCCUCCUCGGACCUGGAAAAUGAAUGUUUAACCCCGCUCUGCUCAUCUCUCCCUGUGCCCUGUUCCUGUCAGCCUCAAAGCUGCCGGGAGGAAGGACCUGCAGCUUCCAGUCCUGCUCAUAGUCAAUGAAAAUUCAAAUUCUCUUCUCAGCAGAAGGGCAGCUGCCUUCUUCUCCGUUUUCCCUGCACACAUUGAUCUGUCGCGAGGGCACCUGGGGGUCAGAAGAGAGGCCAGGCUCUUUUAAUUUGGUCUGGAAUUAGCAUAUCCUAUCACACCAAAGGCCAGGAUUUCCACAUCCAGGAGCAGGAGGUCUUCACCCAGACCUAGACCUGUUCUUAGACCCCUCAAGCCAGCAAUGAUAUCCACAUUUGUUGAGGUGGAGACCUAGGAGGGAAAAUGAGCAAUUUGGCCCAUUUUUCAGGCCAGUAGCUGCAGCUGUCUGCUCUGUUAAUAUUUUCUUCAGUAUUCAUCACAGGCAAAGCACCGCCUUUACCUCGGAGUGCCUCGAGGAUAGGAAGAUCUUUGCCACCCUGAGACCUCCGUGUGUUGUGGAUAGAUACACAAAUAAACAGAUGGGGAAAAAAAAGA